rnacentral:rRNA from 1 species
ACGGAAGGCAGCAGUGGGGAAUAUUGCACAAUGGGCGAAGGCCUGAUGUAGCGACGCCGCGUGAGCGAUGAAGUAUUUCGGUAUGUAAAGCUCUAUCAGCAGGGAAGAUAAUGACGGUACCCGACUAAGAAGCACCGGCUAAAUACGUGCCAGCAGCCGCGGUAAUACGUAUGGUGCAAGCGUUAUCCGGAUUUACUGGGUGUAAAGGGUGCGUAGGUGGUAUGGCAAGUCAGGAGUGAAAACUAUGGGCUCAACCCAUAGACUGCUUUUGAAACUGUCAAACUAGAGUGCAGGAGAGGAAAGAAGAAUUCCUAGUGUAGCGGUGAAAUGCGUAGAUAUUAGGAGGAAUACCAGUGGCGAAGGCGUCUUUCUGGACUGUUACUGACACUGAGGCACGAAAGCGUGGGGAGCAAACAGGAUUAGAUACCCUGGUA